rnacentral:rRNA from 1 species
GGGUUGUGAGGUUAAGCGACUAAGCGUACACGGUGGAUGCCCUGGCAGUCAGAGGCGAUGAAGGACGUGCUAAUCUGCGAUAAGCGCCGGUAAGGUGAUAUGAACCGUUAUAACCGACGAUUUCCGAAUGGGGAAACCCAGUGUGACUCGUCACACUAUCAUUAACUGAAUCCAUAGGUUAAUGAGGCGAACCGGGGGAACUGAAACAUCUAAGUACCCCGAGGAAAAGAAAUCAACCGAGAUUCCCCCAGUAGCGGCGAGCGAACGGGGAGGAGCCCAGAGCCUGAAUCAGCAUGUGUGUUAGUGGAAGCGUCUGGAAAGGCGCGCGAUACAGGGUGACAGCCCCGUACACAAAAGCGCAUGUGCUGUGAGCUCGAUGAGUAGGGCGGGACACGUGGUAUCCUGUCUGAAUAUGGGGGGACCAUCCUCCAAGGCUAAAUACUCCUGACUGACCGAUAGUGAACCAGUACCGUGAGGGAAAGGCGAAAAGAACCCCGGCGAGGGGAGUGAAAAAGAACCUGAAACCGUGUACGUACAAGCAGUGGGAGCACCUUCGGGUGUGACUGCGUACCUUUUGUAUAAUGGGUCAGCGACUUAUAUUCUGUAGCAAGGUUAACCGAAUAGGGGAGCCGUAGGGAAACCGAGUCUUAACCGGGCGUUAAGUUGCAGGGUAUAGACCCGAAACCCGGUGAUCUAGCCAUGGGCAGGUUGAAGGUUGGGUAACACUAACUGGAGGACCGAACCGACUAAUGUUGAAAAAUUAGCGGAUGACCUGUGGCUGGGGGUGAAAGGCCAAUCAAACCGGGAGAUAGCUGGUUCUCCCCGAAAGCUAUUUAGGUAGCGCCUCGUGAAUUCAUCUCCGGGGGUAGAGCACUGUUUCGGCUAGGGGGCCAUCCCGGCUUACCAACCCGAUGCAAACUGCGAAUACCGGAGAAUGUUAUCACGGGAGACACACGGCGGGUGCUAACGUCCGUCGUGAAGAGGGAAACAACCCAGACCGCCAGCUAAGGUCCCAAAGUCAUGGUUAAGUGGGAAACGAUGUGGGAAGGCUCAGACAGCCAGGAUGUUGGCUUAGAAGCAGCCAUCAUUUAAA